rnacentral:rRNA from 1 species
GACGAACGCUGGCGGCGCGCUUAACACAUGCAAGUCGAGCGAGAACCAGCCCUUCGGGGCUGGGGAAAGCGGCGAACGGGUGAGUAACACGUGGGUAAUCUGCCCUCGGCACCGGAAUAGCCCGGGGAAACCCGGAUUAAUGCCGGAUGGCCUCUCCGCCCUUCGGGGCGGUGAGAAAAGGUAGCUUCGGCCUCCGGCCGAGGAUGAGCCCGCGGCCGAUUAGCUUGUUGGUGAGGUAACGGCUCACCAAGGCGACGAUCGGGAGCUGGUCUGAGAGGAGCAUCAGCCACACUGGGACUGAGACACGGCCCAGACUCCUACGGGAGGCAGCAGUGGGGAAUCUUGCGCAAUGGGCGAAAGCCUGACGCAGCGAAGCCGCGUGCGGGAAGAAGGCCUUCGGGUUGUAAACCGCUUUCAGGAGGGACGAAGCCACUCGGGUUAAUAGCCUAGAGGGUGACGGUACCUCCAGAAGAAGCCCCGGCUAACUACGUGCCAGCCGCCGCAGUAAGAC